rnacentral:sRNA from 1 species
UCACUGACAAUUGGUUUAAAACUGUUUUUAUUACUGUCACUAUUUACCUUCGUAUGAAGAACUUAAAGGACGUAAGUCUAUUUAUGUUUUGUUGAUGAAAUGGAUGCUAUUGUUCAAAAUGUGUUACAAAAAGUAAGAUAACAGCUUCUAUGCUGCUUUGUUUACAGCCUGCUAGGUAAUGCACCACCAAAACCAUGAUCUACCUAUACACAGUAUGUAAAGGGCUGAAUAAAUAAUCUCUACCAGAAGAUUAUUAUCCUACCAGCUUGCUCAUAAUCAUGUUAUCUCAACCUCUCUAUGUACUUUUUAAGUCAUCAAUAACUUUCGGAUGAUAAUCAAGCAAUUAAUUCAUGAUGGCCUAUUAGGUCAAUAAAGCAUUUUUUCCUCAGAUUAACACAGAUAUAUCAGUUGUCAUUU